UUAAUACUGAUUAGGUGGUGAAUCACAUUUAUUAAGUUGUAUGUGAUCAACUAUCUUUGCAUUCACGGAAUAAAAUCCACUUGAUCCUGAUCAAUUAUCUUUUUGAUGUGCUGUUGGAGAGGAUUUGCUAGUAAUUUGUUGAGGAUUUUUGCAUCUGUGUUGUAUUAGUCCUUUUUCAUACUGCUAUAAAGAAAUAUCUAAAGGAAAGUUUCCAUCUCCCUCCCUCAACCCAUGGGGAUUACAGGUUCCUGUCUUGACACUUGGGGAUUACAGUUCAAGAUGAGAUUCGAGUGGGGACAGAGAGCCAACCAUAUCAUAUGUUCAUUUAUUGUUGUGUUCUUGCCUGAUUUUGAUAUCAGGGUGAUAGUGGUUUCAUAUGAGUUAGCGGGGAGUCCCAUCUCGAUUUUUUGAAAUAGUUUCGGUAAGAUUGAUACCAGCUCCUUGUUGUAUGUCUGGUAAAAUACAUCUGUGAAUUCAUCUUUCCUGGGCUUUUUUUGUUAAAAAAAUUUAUUACUUAUUCAAUUUCAUUAUGCAUUAUCAGUCUUUUUAGGAUGUCUAUUUCUUCCUGGUUAAGUCAUAGGAGGUUAUGUAAUUCCAGAAAUAUAUUCAUUUCCUCUAGUUUUCCUAGUUUGUGUGUAUGGGAGAGGUCAUGGCAGUCUCACAAUUUUUUUUUUCCUGAGGUAUCAGUUGUAAUAUCUCCUUUCUUAUCUCUGAUUGUUGUUAUUUGAAUCUUUUUCUGGUUAAUCUAGCUAUCAGUCAGUAAAUUUUAUUUACUCUUUCAGAAAAACAAAUUUUUGUUUUAUAGUUCCAUUAUAUCUUCUUCCAUUGUCUCAGGCACAUUUAGUUCUUCUCUAAGGGAUUUGGAUUAUUUGUUUUUCCAGUUCCUUGAGGUUCAACAUUAGAUGAUUAAUUUGAGAUUCCUGUGUCCUUUUGGUGUGGCCAUUUAAUGCUAUAAACUUACCUCUUAACACUGAGUUUGCUGCAUCCCUGAGGUUUUGGUGUGUUGUGACUCUAUUUUUAUUUAUUUUGAAAAAUAUAUUGAUUUCUGCCUCAAUUUUGUUGUUUUCUAAAAGGUCAUUCAGGAGCAAGUUGUUUAGAUUCCAUGUACUUACGCAGUAUUGUGAGUUCCUCUUAAUAUUUAUUUCUUUUUUUUUUUUUUUUUUUUUUUUUUUUUGAGACGGAGUCUCGCUCUGUCGCCCAGGCCAGACUGCGGACUGCAGUGGCGCAAUCUCGGCUCACUGCAAGCUCCGCUUCCCGGGUUCACGCCAUUCUCCUGCCUCAGCCUCCCGAGUAGCUGGGACUACAGGCGCCCGCCACCGCGCCCGGCUAAUUUUUUGUAUUUUUAGUAGAGACGGGGUUUCACCUUGUUAGCCAGGAUGGUCUCGAUCUCCUGACCUCAUGAUCCACCCGCCUCGGCCUCCCAAAGUGCUGGGAUUACAGGCGUGAGCCACCGCGCCUGGCCUUAAUAUUUAUUUCUAAUUUUAUUCCACUCUGGUCUGAGAAUAUACUUGACAUGCAUUUAAUUUUUUAAAUUUAUUGAAACUUGCUUUAUGGUCAAGUAUAUGGUUGAUUUCAGAGCAUGUUCCAUGUGAAGGUGAGAAGAAUGUAUAUUCUUCAGCUGUUGGAUAAAGCAUUUUGUCAUUGUUCAUUAUGUUCAUUUGGUUUAUAGUCCAGUGUAAGUCCAGAGUUUCCUUGAUGAUUUUCAGCCUUGAAGAUCUGUCUAGUGAUAUCACUGGGUGAUAAAGAGAAUUCUGUCUUUCUGCUCUUAUAAUUUUUUGUUCACAUCGACUUUGGAUAGUCCUAUGUAUAUAUGCCUUGGUGAAGUUUUUCUUGCAAAGUAUUUUCCAGGAGUUCACUGAGCUUCUUAUAUUUCAAUGUUCAAAUCUCUCCCAAACCCAGGAAUUUUUUUUGAAUUAUUUCCUCAGAUAGGGUUUCUAUACUUUUUAUUUAUUUUUUUGAAUUAUUUCCUCAGAUAGGGUUUCUAUACUUUUUAUUUAUUCUUCUCUUUCUGGAAUAGCUAUAACUCAUAGGUUUGCACAUUUUAUAUAAUCCCAUAUUUCUCAGAUAUUUCUUUUUUUUCUCUUUUUAAAAAUUUUUCUCUGACUGGGUUAAUUUGAAAGAUCUGUCUUCCGCUCUGAAAUUAUUUCUUCCAUUUGGUCUAGCCUAUUAUUAAAGCUUUCAGCCAUAUUUUGUAACUCCUUCAAUAAUUUGUUUUGUUUGUUUCCAGAAUUGUAUUUGUUUUGUUUUGUUUUGUUUUAUGGUGUCUAUCUCAUUCUUUCCUGUCCUGAAUGGCUUUCCUGAUUUCUUUGUGUAGAUUUUUAGUUUUCACUUAGAUCUCAUAGAGCUUCUUUAAAAUUAAUAUUUUAAAAUAUUUGUCUGAUAUUUUUAAAAUUUCAAUUUGGUUAGAAUUCAGUUUUUGGAGAGUUAAUGUUCCCUUUCUGGAGUGCUGUAUCACUGUUUUUUCAGAUUUUCUUUUUUUGUUUUUUGUUUUUAUGCCUUCUGAUUUGUUUCUCUGUUUUUUUUUUCUUCAUAUUUGGAUAAGCUACCUCUCCUUAUGUUUUAAUAUUGCUUUUGUUUGAAUAGUAUUUUCCCCCACACCCCAAUCCAAUCCUAAGGAAGUAUAACGUAUGAUGUUGUGUAGGGUCCAUUGACUUUGGUUCUGGGUAUUUUCCAAGGCAGUGUAGUAGCAAUGUGCUUGGAGUGUGAGCAGGCUGACUCCCUCCUGUGGGCCAGGAUGGUGGAAGUCUUAGGAAACUGCUCCCCCAGUGCUUUGUGCCUCUGCCAAAUUUCCUGUGUGUUGUGCUCUUUAACAUCCAGGCCAGUAGGUGGCACUUAUGGGUAAAAGCUGCUCCAGCCAAUGUGGAUGGAUUUAUACUGGAUCCUACUUUGCUAAGGCAAACUUUCCCUGCCUCAGGCUGAUCUCUGGAAUGCGCAAUGGACUGAGCUCCCUCCUUGCUCAGGCUUAGAGGAGGAGAGACCAAGAAGGGCAAAACCACACCAGCCAGGCCCACCUACAGUUUCCCCAAUGGCAAGCACAAGCACCAGUUCCACGGGGGUAUCCAGUGGGAGGCUGCCAAGUAUCCAGAGGUGUUUGUAGAGAUGGAGUUGUGUAACUUCCACUGCCUCAAGUACUGUGCAUGGAAAGUAGUGAUGUCUAAACUCCUAAUCUAGAAGACUGUGUGCUCCAAAUGUCUUGAGAUAUGUCUGGACAUUGAGCAGAGAGAGCACUGGUGCACCAAGAUUUUACACCUGAAGGGAGAGGUGGCUUAGAAUGUUGUCAGGAAAGUGGGUGUGCCAGAUAUGUGGAAAUAUGACUUGGAAAGGAGUGGAGAAGUCAUUGCUGCCAUAAGAUCAUUGCGGUAGACAGGAUGGGUGGAUCAACUCCUACUCCAGGGGGACAGGUGCACCUCAUGAUGGAUAAUAUGCCUGGGAAGAAGUAAACUGCUGGCACAACAAGAUCUCUGCAUAGGAAGGAAGGGGGGGGUGGCUCAAACUUCUAACCCACUGGAGUAGGUAUGCCAAAUGCCUGGACUUAUGUCUGGGUGUGGAGCAGAGGGAGUAUUACUAUACCAAGCUUUUUUGUGUGUGUGGGAAGGGGAUGACAGCUCAAGCUCCUAUUCUAGGGAGCAUGUGUACCAAAGGCCUGGAGAUAUGUCUGGGCAUAGAGCAGAGAGUGUGCUCCCUUACCAAGGUCUUUGCACAGAAGGAAGAGCAGCUCAGGCUUUCCAGGUGAGUGUGCUGAGAGAGUGUGCAGAGAGUGUGCUGCUACACCAAGGUCUUUGCAUAGCAAGAGGGGCAGCUCAGGCUCUCCAGGUGAGUGGGUGGCUGGAAGUAUUCCCUGGAGAGGAUUCAAAAAACUGCCACUGCAACAAGGUCUUUGCAGGAGAAAGGGGGGUAGCUUACGCUAAUCCAGGAAAGGAGGUAUUUUCAUUGUCCCCCAGCAAGGAGGUGAGUACCCAGUGAUGCAACAACAUCUUUGCAGGAAAGAGGGAGCAGCCCAGGCAGCUAAUCCAGGCAAGGGGGUGCAGCAAAUACCUAGAAAUAUGCCAGGCAUGGAGUGGAGGCUGCACUGCUUCACCACUUCAUGAAGAUCUCUGCACAAAACGGGUAGGGUGCCUUAGGUUGCUGACUUGGGCUAAUGUGUACUCCAGAUGUCUGGAGAUUUCCCUGAGCAUGGAGCAGAGAGGGCUCUGCUGCACCAUGAUCUGUGCCCAGAAAGGGUGGGUGGCUCAGGCUGCUGGUCCAGGCAAAUGUGUACUCUAAAUGCCAGAUGUUCUGCCUGGGGCUAGAGUAGAGAGGGCCUCAGGCCUCCCCUCAUGAUCUCAGGGGAGCGGGCAGAGGCACCCAGCAAUGACACAUGCAGAAAAGUUUCGGGAUACAAAACUCUCCCUGUCUUCAAGUCUUUCUGCUCAGGAGAAACCUCAGUUUCAACAACUCUCUUCCCACUCCAGUCUGUGAUGGGAGAUAGCCCAAGUCUAUUGUCUAGUGCUGGGAUGCUUUCCACACCUGCUACUCAAUUCUGGCUGUAGGGGCCCUUCCACCCCUUUAGAGCAAGCACUUCAAUCUCUGGCCUGAGAUUAUAAUACCUGUGUGCCUGUCCUGCUGUGUCACCAGACAUGACUGACUUUGCAAGAGCCUGGAUUAAAAAUGGAAUCCUCCUCUCUGUUGCAGGUCUUGGAAAAUGGCAGCAGAUUUUCCCCAUGUCUUUCCCUCUCAGCAUGUCCAACCUCUUCCCAGGUUAGCUCCAAGACUUGAGAGAAGCAAAAUGCUCUCCCUUGGCCUGGAUUAUACAUGUCACUUAGUGGAAAGUUGAGUCACAAUGGAAGACUCUCUGCCCUUCUCAUGUACAGGAGGUUCAGUCAUUUUUAUUAGUCAGAUGCCGUUAGAGAAGCUGCUUGCCCACCUCCUUCUCUGCAGGAUCAGAGGUGUCCUUCACUAUUGUGGUGAAUUUCCAUUUUCCUUCUUGAGUUAAAGCUCGCAGAAUUUAUCUUUAUGCAGUAUUUUGCUAUUUCCAAGUGCCUGACACAUGCUAAAAGCUUUUAAUCUGCCAUAUUGGAAAAGAAAAAGAAAAAGAAAAAACUAUAUUUGGUGUUUUUAUGAAGCAAAAUUGUAUUCAUAAUUACUUUUAAUUUUAUUAAUUCUGUUUUUUAAAAUUUCUUAUUUUACCUCAAAUCAUCCUUCUGACAUUUUCUUCUUCCUGAAGAAUGUCUUUAGCACUUGUUAUAGUAAUUUCUACACGUUUUCUAUUGUGUUUUAUUCCAGGUUGACAGAUUACUAAGGAUACAAUUGUAGGCUGAUGUGAUUUCUUUCACCCUUUUAAAAACAACUUUCCACUAUCUUUCUAAUUCCAUGGUUAACUUCUGUAGAGCCUCUGAUUAAACUCAUCAUCAUAUAGGCUAUCUGCUUUCUUUCUCAUUUAUUUUCAAUAUCUCUUCUUCUACCCCUUUGGCAUCCGUUAUGGUGACGUACAUACACACACACACACACACACACACACACACACACACACACACACACAGAGACACACACACAUAUAUAUAUGUACUGUUUUGCUUGAGAGAAAUUUUGCUUCCUGAAUAUAAGGGAGCCUGACUAAUGAACAUUCUUAUAAUGUUCUGUCAUUAUCUCUUUCAACAUUGACUCUCAGGUUAGCUGUAUUAUAUGUCCUCAAUCCAGUUUUGAUGUCUUGCACUGGCCUUUAAAUUUCUAUGUCUUUCUCUUAUUGGAGUAUACUUCAGAUGAUUAUAUUAUGUGUGACUUAAAGUUUACUAGUUUAUUUGCCAUUAGUGUCUAAUCUGAUAUUUAACUGAACUAGUAGACAUUCAAUCCUUAUUAUAUUUUUUACAUUUGAAGUUCCACUGGUUUUGAUUUAAAGCUCUCAGAUAAAAUUUUAUGUACUUUCUUUUUCUGAACAUUAAGAAAUAUAGAUUUUGUAGCUUAUGUUGUGUUCUUCAAGUAUCAAAUGCUUUGGACGUAGGAUGGUUGAUUUUCAUUUUGUUGUUUUUGCUGAUUAUGUCUCUUGGUGUCUCUCUUUCUCACAAUUUUCUUGUAUUUCCAGUUUUGGAUUUGGGCUUGUGUUUAACUGAACUGAAUCUAUGAAAAUAUUGGAGGGCCUGGAUUGCAGCACUGUUUCACUUGAGGAUAAUUAAAUGUUAUAUGAUGCCACCCAGGAUUAUAGACUUUAGUAUGAAUGCUCUUAGGGUUUCCCAGAUAAUUCCCAUUUUAACUCCAACUCCAAUGAUGUCAGAACUAUAGUUAACACUAAAUUGUUAAAUCCAAGAUUAACAAGUUAAUCUGUAUCAUUAUGCCAUUCCUGAUCUACCAUUUUUUUGAUAUUGUAACCUGUCCUAAUAUCCAGCUUUGUAAUUGAGUGUCAA
rnacentral:lncRNA from 1 species